rnacentral:lncRNA from 12 species
UGGCCAAACACCUAAAUUCUUGCAAGUUAGAUAAUUGAAAGCACAAAGACAGCAUACAAUUUCCCUGAAAGAAAGAGUAAAUUAGUGGCAGAUAUAUGAACAGCACAUAGAGGUCAACUGUUUAUCCAAUCAUCUCGGUGGCAGAACUGUUGAAUCUGUGUCGAUAGAGUGGAUUUCCUCUUUCAGCUCAAUAAUUUGCAUUAAUUACUUGAUGGGAAGAAGAGGGAUAUUUUGAAGGCAUUCCAUAAAACAGCCAUGGACAACAAGAAUCUUAACUGGAGAUCAACAGUACAGAAACAGUAUGGCAAUACAUGCACUUGCACAGUGACUUUCUGCACAGAUGAGUUCCCAUGAGAAAAGUUUGCAAUGAAGAGCUCCAAGUUGGCAUUUCUGGCAACUGCA